rnacentral:rRNA from 1 species
CAGUCGCCACGGUAAAACAGAGGGUGCGAGCGUUAAUCGGAUUUACUGGGCGUAAAGCGUGCGUAGGCGGCUUCUUAAGUCGGAUGUGAAAUCCCUGAGCUUAACUUAGGAAUUGCAUUCGAUACUGGGAAGCUAGAGUAUGGGAGAGGAUGGUAGAAUUCCAGGUGUAGCGGUGAAAUGCGUAGAGAUCUGGAGGAAUACCGAUGGCGAAGGCAGCCAUCUGGCCUAAUACUGACGCUGAGGUACGAAAGCAUGGGGAGCAAACAGGAUUAGAUACCCCAGUAGUCCCUGUCUCUUAUAC